rnacentral:rRNA from 1 species
ACGCUCGACACCUACGGAGGCAGCAGUAGGGAAUCUUCCACAAUGGACGCAAGUCUGAUGGAGCAACGCCGCGUGAGUGAAGAAGGUUUUCGGAUCGUAAAGCUCUGUUGUUGGUGAAGAAGGAUAGAGGUAGUAACUGGCCUUUAUUUGACGGUAAUCAACCAGAAAGUCACGGCUAACUACGUGCCUGCAGCCGCGGUAAUCUGAGCGGGCUGGCAAGGC